UGUGGUUUGCUCCAGGCCUAGGUCACA
rnacentral:piRNA from 1 species